rnacentral:rRNA from 1 species
UACGAAGGGGGCUAGCGUUGCUCGGAAUCACUGGGCGUAAAGGGUGCGUAGGCGGGUCUUUAAGUCAGGGGUGAAAUCCUGGAGCUCAACUCCAGAACUGCCUUUGAUACUGAGGAUCUUGAGUUCGGGAGAGGUGAGUGGAACUGCGAGUGUAGAGGUGAAAUUCGUAGAUAUUCGCAAGAACACCAGUGGCGAAGGCGGCUCACUGGCCCGAUACUGACGCUGAGGCACGAAAAGCGUGGGGAGCAAACAGGG